CAGGACCUUGGGCUCAUGAUGUGAGCCAAAGGCAGACGCUUAAUGACUGAGCCCCCAGGUGUCCCUGUAGCAGAACUUCUUAAGCUGAAGACACAUUACACACAGACUUUAGGUUAUUACUCUGAGUAUUAUUUUCUUAUCUACUUAUUUUUCUUACAACCGCUUAUGAUGUAUAUGGUAUUACUAAAAUGUGAUGGUUUACGGCCGAGCAUUGUACCUCAAGUUUUGCCUUUGAUAUUAGGGGACAGUUGAUGCUCACUAGAGUGUCAGAGUUUGUGAGUUGUCCCAUUGGGUCAGCCCCUGUCCCCCCAGCUCUGGCCCUGUCUCUAUGUGUCUGGGUCCCUCUCGCAGGACAGGGGAUCUUGGAAAGGUGACCCCGACGUGUGAGCUAUUCCCCAGGAGGGGGGUAACCAAGCCAGCGGAGGGGAGCCCGGAACGCGUGAUGGAAAGACGUAAGAGGUCGAAGCAGUGGGGAUGAUGCCGAGCUCAGGCCUGAGGCUGAGGCAGGAUUUUAAGUGGAAAAUCAGGUCUCAGGUCCAGAGGGUCGGGAAGUGGGGUGCAGUGCCUUGUUCCAACUGAGAGCCGGCUGGGUAACGGGAGGUUGGCAAGCUUCCGGAUUUUAGCUGCGCAUGACUUUCCUUGGUGCGAGCCUCAGCGGUGAGCGAUGGAUCCAGAACCUUAUCGGGGUCUUAGGAGAUGAUCAGUGGGGACGGCCGCCUGCUCAGGGGUUGUUGGCAGGAGACAUGGGGAUGUUGGGCCUGCAGACUCCUCCCACCAGGUCUCCUGGCCUUGCUCGUGAGCUGGUCUUCUCAUUUCCUUGUUUGGCACCAGGCGCUGUCUCACUACCCUUUCUCUUUGGCCUUUGUGGCCUUGCAUGGGGUGGUUUCCUGGGGUCCAGUGACCGGAAACAGCAGCCCGAGCAAGCCUGUCGUGGGCGUUCCCGGAGCAGGUGAGGUGUGUUCCCAGGAAAGUGGGUGUCUGUACGGGAUAGUCUGUCUCAUUCUUUCCUUUCAAGUGUCCUUUUAAGAUGAUAAAAUUAGUAGUAACUCAUGAAAAGUCAAAUGAUCCGGAGGUAGAGAGGCUCAUGGGUUAGGCCCAUGUCCAGCCUGCAACUCCCUGCAGCUCCCAACUCCCCAAAGGCAGCCACUGUAGGCCCUGGGGUCAUGUCCUUCCCGUCCGCCCAGCUCCGGGUUUGGUUUCCGGUGACUGUGUGCUGAGCUAUGGCAGACCAGGGAAGACUCCGAGGGUGCGAUGUGCUCCUUAUGUUGCUGGAGCCUCUGUCUCUGUGGGACUGACAUCCAGGCUGUGCAGCUAGGCCCGGGGGUACCCCUGGAUGUGUCUGCCAUCAGCUCAGCUCCGGACCCCUGGGGGCUCACCAGGCAGGGGCUUGUCUCAGGGGGUCCAGGGUGGACCGCCGAUCUGCUCCCAGCUUCCUCCCGGGGCCCUGCCUUCUUGAGCUGUGAAGGUGGGUGUGCCUGGCUCUCCCCUCCCCGCCCCUUGUACUUGGACGUGGGGCCUCGGCCGUUCCACCGGGCUGGCAGGUCAGGAACGCAGAAGGACUCUGCUUUUAUUUAUUCAGGCAAGACAGAGUGUGUGAAAGGUCACCAGCGCCUGUGAAGCACCUGCCCCGGGUGAGGCCGGCGGCCGUGACGGUGGCGGUGUCAUCCAUCUUUCUCCCUGGCUUGGGCGGGAGCCCUUCAGAGCCGAGCCGCAGUAGGGCAAGCUCAGAGGUCCGGAGCCCCCGGCUGGCGGCUGGGCAGCUUGCCCAAGCUGCGGUCUGUUCCCGGGGUCCCUCCAAAGAUGCAGAGCCCGUGCUCUCCCAGCCUCAUCACAGACUGGAGGGGCCCCCACCAGGGGCCCUCUAGGCUAAGGGACAUGUCCGGUGACUAAAGGUGACCGUUUUCCCAGGACUUUUAAAGAAGAGAGAAAACUCUUUUGCCUCGUGUUACGCUGUUUCUCGAUCAAAGCACUGCUGACAUUUGGGGUGUGGUGAGCCUCAGUGUUUGGGGGUGUCCUGUGUGACAUGUAGUCGUAUCCCUGACCUGUACCCACUGGGUGCCGGGGGCACCCCCCACCUCCAGUUGUGACAACCCAGAACGUCUCCAGACAUUGCCAGAUGUCCCCGGGGGGCAAGUCACCCCUCCCCGCCCUUUGAGACCCACUGGACUCCAGGCUUCAGAAAUGGGCUUUCUGUGACCAUCGCUUGGGCGUGUGAGCUGCUUCUCGCCCGGGAGCAGUUUUUCUUUGUUCCUUUUCCAAAGGGCUGACCUCAUCGGGCUCAUUUGUUUGUUUCUUGACUCACGCUGCUGUAACCACAGGCAGGCUUCCUACUUUGGGGGAUCCCAAAUGACUUAUCAUGGGACUUGAUAUGUAAAUUUGAAAGGUUCUUGUCUGCUACAUUGGGGGCAGAAGGCCUCAACUUCUUUUUCAGGCCUGUUUGCUAAGUGCUUCCCUCGAGUCUUUCAGAGCACGGGGCCAUCCAGCUGAAGAUUUUAUCGCAAGCACCUUUUGCAGUUUGGUUUUCUGAAAUCGCUCAGCAUUUCUCUCCCAUUAGGUUGGGUCUUAGCCCAGUGACUAGCAGAUGAGCUAAGGGCCAGGGCGGUCUGACGUUGUCUGGGGCUUGGGGGAUUUUUCUGAAAGCCUGUGACCCAGGACUGGCUGUUGGAAGGGGAGGAGGAGGAGGAGGAGGAGUGAGCCGUAGGACAGACCCACCGGGGUCAUGCCCCCCAGUGCUGUGCAUCAGGCUCCUUGAGCAGGGCCGGCCUGGCUGCUAUCUCCUCUGGGGACCAGAACUAGCUGCUGACCCGGAGAUGGGGCUUCCCAAAGCACAGUGUUGCCCCGAGGCCCCACCUGGCCCAGGCAUCUUUCCCAUUUCCUCCUUUGAGGAGCGGGGUGACCCUCCGGGAAAGAAGGAUGGCUCUGCCUGAGUUCCACCAAGCUUCUCGCCCCUGGCAGCUUUCCCUGCCUCACUGUCUGCUCAGGGAAAUGAAUUCCGGUUUUCUGCUAGGGCCUUUAUACGUAGCGUCGGCCCUUGCCCCGGAAAACCCCAGGUAUUGGAAGAUCUCGGCUGUGCCCACAGCUCUUGGGUGCCGCCGUUCUCUUCUGCGGUGGCUCCCACAGGCUCAGCUUACUUGGCCUCCUCCGUAGCACGCAGAUGAACUUGAGCAGUGGUUGGAAUGCCCCCGCCACCCCCCGCCUUCCUCCUUCCCACACACCUAUGCUGUGAGCUCACACGCUCGCUACGGACUUGCGCUUGGCGAGCCUCAGACAGUGCAGGGGAGGAGAAGCUAGAUCUGGCCGCCAAGGGCACUGAGUCCCGGAUGGCAAGAGAAAGGCCCGUGUUGCUCAUGGACCGGGUGCCACCAGCCCCACCAGCUGUGCCAUCAGUGCCCCCGUUCAGACAUGAAGCUGGGACCCCCUCUCGCAACCCAGACAGAAUCCCAGGUGCUCGGUGAUCCUCCGUGGAGGCCUGGAGACCAGUGAGAUAGGUGGGCCCAUGUGUGCCCAGAGCAGAGUUUUGAGGGCGCCUGGAACUUGCCCUUUGCUCCCUGGGGCUCUUGUCCCUGCCUUCACCUGCACUGGGGCCUGGCAGAGCUUGGAGGCUUCCGGAUUCCAGUGUCGGCGGUGGCCAGUCUGCUGGAGUAAAGCUGCUUUCCCAAAAUAGCCACCCAGAGGGAAAGAGCAACCCUGGAAUUUGAUCGCAGUGAUGAUGACCAUGGUGGCCUCGCUCAGGCUCCUGGUCCCAGCUCCACCUCCCUGACCGUCACCCAGGAACUGGAGGUGAACGCACACCUACGGAGGGGCCCCAGUGCUGGCAGCGAGCCCAGCCCCCUGGCAGGUGAACCCAGUGCCAGACCCGGAGGCGGCAAGCCCGACAGGUCAGACAGGUGGAGCCAGCCGUGCGGUCCGUGGUCCCCAAUCCCUGGUCCGCCCUCAGCCCACAAAGCAGUGCAGGCACGGGUGGCUCCUGACAUUCAGGAAAAACAGGGGUGCUCUCUGCCCCUCUGGGGAAGCUGGUUCCCCUCAACCUGGACAGAUGAUCAUUUUUGAGGCUGAAAACAUCCAAUGUGAGAUCCCCCACUCUUAAGGCAGGUUUCUCUCUGCCCGGCCUUUAACCUGGAUUGACGUCACUCACAGAUCUGGACAGGUCCCCGAAGCUCCUCUGGGCCACCACCACCUUCCUGCCACGGGGUCUGGUUUUCUGGAGGUCAGUGCAAGAGCAGAAAAAUUCCCGCAUCAUUGUGAAAUGCAAGAGGAAGCCUAACUAAGGUUGGUGGUAAAAAUCUUCGGAUUCCUCUCCAAGCCUGGCAGGGGAGGGAGUGUGGGGUGCAAAGCUGUGACUCGUUCCCAGCGCCACCGUUCUGCCCCCAGAUCGGGCAUUUUAAAAGUGCUUGUUCUCAUGGUUCAGAACUGCUCACAGUUAUAACUGGGUGCGGCUGUGGUUUCUUGCCCAUGUCCGUCUUCAUGCACCCCCCCAAGGCCCAGGACAUCCUCCGCCCUCCCGACCCGCCCCUGCCCCCCCCCCCCCCGCAGGCACGGGGUCAGCCCAUCACAGGUGCACACUCAGAAGCUGAUGGCUGCCGAAGAAACAUCUGUGCUUGCUGAGACGUGCACUGUAGGAUUGGGAAGGUUUCCUGAAUGAAUUUCCACAUCUCCUGGAUGAAGAGGGCGCCUCUUUUUCCAGGAAUUGGAACAUCCAAGAGCCAUGUUGCCAGAAGCCACUUUCUCUUCAGUGCCUAAAAUUUAAGUGCUGGGAACUUAAAACUCCUCGGUAGAGAUGACUUCCGGUUUUCUUGUAUCCCUCCCGGCUCCCUGGACCAGCGGUCCUGACUCUGUAGGGAGAGGUUUUGGGCCUGGGGCUUCAGAGGGCCCCUGUUAGGACAAAUGAACUGAAGACAGAAUCAGGGCUCUGAACCGAGCCCCAGGCCUUUGAAGUAUCUUGUGUUAAUGCAGCAGAAGCUCACCUGGUUGCUGAACCGAAAGCCCUUCGGUAGAAGAGAAUGUCCGUUCAAAUCUAAGUACGUUCACUCUGACCUUGGGUUGCAGCUUUGCAGGAAGGUCUGACGUGGUAAAAGCCUGCUGACUUGUGUGCUGUGUACUUUGUGGAACACAGAUUUCAGCCACUGACUCAUUAUUCACCCUUGUUCUGGCCUCGCCUCUCUGACUGGAAAAAUUGUCCCUGAAGUCCAGGCUUCCCCUCCCUGACUGGGAAGACUGUCCCCAAAGUCUGAGCCUCCCCUCUCUGACUUAGAAGACUGUCCCCAAAGUCUGAGCCUCCUCUCCCUGACUGGGAAGGUUGUCCCUGAAGUCUAGGCCUGCCCUCUCUAACUGGGAACAUUGUCCCCGAGGUCCAAGCCUCCUCACUCUGACUAGGAAGAUUGUCCCUGAAGUCCAGGCCUGCCCCCUCUGACUGGGAAGACUGUCCCCAAAGUCUAAGCCUCCACUCUCUGACUCUCUGACUAGGAAGAUUGUUCCUGAAGUCCAGACCUCUCCUCUCUGACGGGGAAGAUUGUCCUCUCUGUCUGAGGACCCCAGACUCCAGAGGAGGAAGAAGGAGCCCCUCCUGGCUACCAUAACUGCCAGCUCAGCUCUGGUGUCCGGGGAGCAGCCUCCACAGGCAGCCACGGCUUCACCCAGGUCACUCACUGCCUAGAUUGAGAACAUGGGGUUCAGCAUGGAGAUCGGGGACAGGGGCUGCUUAGCAGUAGAAGACACAUCUGGUCUUGCUUUUCUGAGCCAUCUUUUCCUUUGGUUUAUUUUCUGAGCCUGAGGGUAGGCUGGAUCCAAGAAUUAGGAGUUCCCUCAUCUCCCUCCAUUAGUGCUUUUGACCUCUGCUGGGGUUCAGCGCGUGCCCCAUCCCUGAGAAACACACAGGUACCAGGCUGACUUGACCUUGACAGCGGUGCCAAGGACCAGCCUGAGGCCAGUGGGUGCUGGUGAGCUCGUUCCCGCCUCUCACAGCCCAUUUUUGGGAGGGUCAGCCCAUCCCAAAUGCUGUUCUGAGCUCAGACACCAAGCACGCCACUAUUGCUUAAUUCCCGCGUCGCUGUCUUUACCUUGGGGACCCUGCUUCUGUUUUCAGUAUUUGGGGGGUCCCCUGCCUCUUCCAGCCAGCCCGGGUGUUAUUCAGGCUCCUGCUUGCCCCCGUGCUGACUUGAGGACGGCCAGUGUGGAAAGUGCCGUUGGGCCGAUCCUGGGCCCGUGGGGUCAGAAGCUGCAGCACGAAACCAGGAAACCCGCUUCUCCGGAGCCCGCACGUGGUUCUUGGACGCAGGGCUCCAACCUGACAGAGCCACUUAACCUUUGAGAUAAGACUGGACGUAGCAGAGGCAUAUUUUCCACGCUGAAAGGCCAUAAUUAAAGUCUAGUCUGGCUUGGUUUUUAGGCAAGGCAUCACGGGUUCAUCUGUCUGGGGGCAGAAGACUAAGCUAACAAGAGACUGCCACCAGCUACCACUGGACAUUUAGAAGCCAAGGAAGGGGGCGCUGUGUGCUCUGCGUCUUGCUGAGUGUGGGGGAAGCCCAGUGAGGGGACAGCAGGUGAGCAGAGACCCUGCCCACCUGGGAGCUGCUUUCGUCCACUGCAGCUUGCCUGGAACCCAUUUCUGGGACCUCCUGGCCUGGGGCAGGGGGCUCAGUGACCCUCCCAGCAGCGCCCCUGUGUGUCCCUGCCCCCACACAGAAGAGGAACUAUCGGUGGUCCACAGCCAAAGCAGCUGGUGGCCAGAUGUUCUAGCAGCCACCAUGAUGGGCUCCUCGAGUCAGCCUGGCUGGACUGCGGGACCCAGUCAUUCAACCAAUCACCGAGCAAGGCGCUGCUUUGGGCCCAUGCGGGUGGCGUCUACGAUCCGUUGACUUUAAAGCUUCACCUCGAUGACGUGGGUGGGCCUCAUCCAAGCAGUUGGAGGGCCUUCAGAACAAAGCUGGGGCUUUCCUGAGGAGGAAGAGACCGCACCUGUGGACUGCACUGUCAGCUCCUGCCUGAGAGCGGCCGGCCAGGCUGCCAGGCGGCCCUCGCCAGCCCCAGUCAUGUGAGCCAGUUCCUUGAAAUAAAUCUCUUCAUCUCGAUCUCCUUCUGCUUCCGCUUUCCCAGUAGGAUUCUGACUGCUCGGCUCCCUCAGGGGCGCCCAGGAUGGGGGAACGGCGGGGGUCGCUGUGUUCGUUCUCUUGCUCCCCGUUGGUGCCCGUAGCCGUGCAGAUUGACGACCACUGUCCCUUCCUAACUUCUUCUCUUCCAGGCAAAAGCUGACUUGGUCUUUUUUUUUUUUUCCCCUCCGGGUCGGUGAGUCGCAGGCCAGCCCGGCUGGGAUCUGUCGCCGGUCCCCGCUCUCUCCACGGCCACGUUCCUUCCUAUCCGCAGGGCGGCGGGAGCGAGCGGUGAACAGGCCCGCACCCGGGUCGUCGGCGGGGCCAGCUGUGAGUGUUUCUUUGGCAGUGUCUUAGCUGGUUGUUGUGAGUAAUACUGAAGGAAGCAAUCAGCAAGUAUACUGCCCUAGAAGUGCUGCACACUGUUGGGCCCGAGGGAGGCGGCGGCGAGAGGCGACGGAGCCGGGGGAGACGCCGGAGCCUGGAUGUUGGAGGCUCUGCCCCGCCGUGUUGGCUGGUAAGGGCUUCGGGGGGGGGGGGGGCAGCGAGCUCUAGGGCCCUUGAAGCGGUCUGCUCGUGGAUGUUGAGGGGAACAAAGCUCCCCGCAACCCUGGGCUGGGGUAUGGGGUGUCUCGGGCCAGGAGAGGUUUGCACACUGGAAUAAUAAAAACCAACAUUUAAAAGUAAAAAAAAUAAAUUAAAAAACCUCAACAUUUACAGAGCACUUUGUGCAAAGCCCUGUCCUAAGCGUUGGAAAUGGUGUCUUUCAGGAGCUAGUGUCUGUUGUUACUUACAGAGAAGAAAACAGACAUAGGAAGUGCCAAAAGUCACAAGGGAUGGGACAGAAAUGAGGGACAGGAUUUGACCCCAAGCAGUCUGGCUUGAGAAUCCAUGUCCUUGGAGACGGGCCUCAGGGGCAUUCCUGCCCUGUGGACCUGUUUUGCAGACGGGCUUGACCAUAAACACACGUACGCUGCUUCUCCCCCGCCACAAGGCAAGCUGUGAAGGCAGUCCUUAGCUUUGUCGUUAGCUUUGGCGAACGUGCCUGGGUGGGCAUUAGGACGUGGGUCUGCCUUGGGGAGGAUUUUCCUUUUCCGCCCUCCCAGGCCCAGGAUGUUGGCGGGAAUGAGAAGUUGCUGGUGUGUCUGCCCCAGCGGCUGGUGAGAAAGGUGCCUCCAUGGGAGCUCAGCAAAAGACAGUUUAAUCCUCUGGGUCCGCCCAGCCUCACCCGCAGAUGCCAACUUUGGGUCCAGUGAGCUGCGCGGCCAGCUGGUGUCCCAUGGCAACAGGAAGUGGACCCAAGCCACCAGAGGUUGGAGAGCUACUUGGGGGUGUCUUGGACCACAAGGCCCAUCCAUGACCUCCGGCGGACCUGGAGAAGCCAUGAGGGGGUGGGGCUCCUGGUACCUUUGAUGCAGGCCAAGGACAACACGCGCUGUGAUCCCCCCCCUUCCCCAUGCCCCCACUGCUCCUCCGACGGCCACGGCCCGCGGCCCUCCCCUUCUCAUGCCCGUCUGCCUCGACUCCGUCUUUUUUGGUUCUGUCUUGCCGACCUCGGUACUUCCUAGCGCCGAGUGGGGCAAGAUGGGCCUGUUUCCAUUUGGACCACUUUAUGUAAGUCGGAAGACCCCUUAGAAAGGUUUUCUGAGUCUAACCUUGGCCUUGAGACACCCCUUCUGGUCCAAGCCAGUCCUCUCUCUCUCAAAGCUGGAAGCACAGUGGGCAGCCGGGCUCCCUUCAGCCAGUGGAUUCCUGCGGGAGUUGUUCGUGUCUCCUCCGGUGCUCAGAGGGCUCCAGAGACGGCCCUUUUGUGGCACACAUCGGCCUGGCCGCGCCCCGUGCCCACUUGGCCCACAUUCCGCUCUGCCCCCCAGGCCCGUGGAGCCGGGCGUGGGCUGAAGUGAGGCGGCCGGAAUGCCCGGAAUGCGGGCCGCCGCGACCGCCGGACACUCACGUCCGCCGGACACUCACGUCCGUCGCGGGAGAUCUGACCAGCGCGGGGCUGGGGACGGCGCUGAGCCGACGUCUUUACAUUCUUCCCAGUUUCAGGCCGACGCGAAGGACGCCUGCACUUCUCCCCACCGCCUUCUGACUCAUGGUCUCCAACUUUUGAAUUAAAGGGGCCACACUCUGGGACUGUGAUCUAA